UUUGUAUUUUUUAUUUGGAAAGCAUUGAACAUCAGAAGACAGAUAUAAUAUAUUAUUCAUUGUAAUCUAACUAUUUAAUUACUUUAAAUAAACAGGUAAGACACCAUUCUCAUUUAAACUGAAGACUCAUUACAUUGGUGUUCUGUGUAAAGGGCCCUCAGAGAAAAUGAAGGUCAGGAUUUUAAUCUACAAUACAAAGAGAGCACAGACUAAUUUUUCAUAGCAUAACAAGUAAAAGAAUUAGGCACAUCCUUCCUACAAACAGGUACCACUGUAGAUCUGUUUUCAUUUCUUUUUACCUUCUGAAUCGGUUACUCCUACUCCCGACUGCUUUACUGGUUCUUGUCCAUUCUGGCUCAUCUUCCCUCUGUUAAAAGAUAUGGUGGUUGUUGUCAAUAAAACCACAUAAAGAUGAAAGUUAGAAUAAUGAUACACUAAAGGCUUUUAAUAUUCUUUUAAGAAUAUUACUUUUUUCUCUUUUGAAGGCAACUGCAAUCACAUCUUGCUAAGUCUGUACAUUCUUACAGAAUGGGUCCAUCAGCUGUCUGCUACUUGCCCCACAUCAAUCUUGGGCUGCAUAUCUUCUCACUUUAUCUUGUUAUAGUCAACAGGGAAAUAUAUAAUAAGCAGUCACAAAAAUUUAUGUCUGGUCUACAACACCAUUAUUUCAAAGCUAACAUACUUCUAUAAAGAGUUACACAAUACAAAGACAGAGAAUCUGGUCUUCAUCAGAGAUAAGAAGAUGAGUAGCUUUCAGGAAUAUUACAACUGGAUAAUAGGAGUUUUUUAAAAAAAACAAAUUAGAAAGACUUUACAAGAUAUAUUCAGAUUUAUGUAACUGUAUAUAAUUAUUAAUUUCCCUUGAUAGUUACAGUUGCUUAAUAUUGGCGAGUAUCCUAAUUAGUUACCUCAUCAAACAAUUCUCAUGGUGUUACUAUUUGAUUAUUUUAUUCUGCUUCAAGAUUAAUUGCUCCUAGGGUUAAAAGCACUUGGACUAAAACCAAGAGUUUAAAAUUCAUCAUAUCCAAAAAUUUCUACUGAUAGACCAGAAACUAAGUCUAAGCAAAUAUAGCUUAUAACCAAAAUUGUAAAAUGUAAAACAGGUUUUUACAUACCAAGAUACUUAAAAAUAUUUUUCCCACUAUAUACUUCACAUCCAAACUGUAAGCUGUGGUCUCAUGGAUUUGGGUUUGUAUAGAGUACAAGGUCAUAGCCCCUGAAGUCAUUAUCAAGCCAGUGUGAAUGCAAAUGAUGAGUAGAGUUUCAAUUAUACAUAUAUUCAGAUAAGUAAGAAUUUUUAUACAGAAUUCAAAAUGGAAAUAGUUAUCAAUUUUAAACAUUCUCUCCAUGAAUGAUCUGAUGGUAUACAGCUAUUUUGUUA
rnacentral:lncRNA from 1 species